CAAACUAUAGAUGGUAAAAUCAUUGUUGAGGAUGAACUGCUUAAUUUUAUUGUGGUUAAAAGGUGAACAUUGAGCCACAAUGAUAUUGUGACGUUACAAGAUUAAUUCUUUA